rnacentral:lncRNA from 1 species
GCCCCGCGCCGCUCCAUCUCCCACCGGCGCGCGCCGUCGCCGCCGCCGCCGCCUCCGCCUCCGCCUCGCGCCGUCGCCGCCACUUCCGCCUUCGCCUCCACCUCCGCCUCGUUUCCCCAACGCGCCACGGCAAAAGCGGGGGAACCCGCGCUGGAAAACUUGAAAAACCCCAACCUAACCCCCUCCCACCCCGCCAUUCCUCACAUUUGCACCCCCAUCGCUGCGCUCUAGGUUUUUUUUUUUCCUCCG